ACGCUCCGGAUACAUCAUCUUCACCUUCCUCAUCUUUUGGAUCCCGCUGAUUGUGACAAUGGUUUUAAAUCAGUUAUUUUACCGACAUGACAAUCUGACAGAGGAGGUUUAUCAGGAGCUGGAGAUUUUAACAGUGUCUUUGGUCUGCAUAACAUCCCUCACCAACCCGAUCAUCUACGCAGCGGUCAACCCUCAGUUCCGCACUGAAUUUCACAAUCUGAAAGCAAAAUGGAAAGUGUUUUUUACAAAUUCAUAGAGUUUAUAUACUUGUGGGGUCUUCAGAGCUGAGAUCCCACUAUGCCAAACACCACAUCUGAUCUGUUCAUUGGUGUUAUGUUGUGUUGUCACAUGCUGUUGGCCACAAAUUGAAUUAGACGAUGCGGUCUAAAAUCUUAAGAAAUGCUAAGACUGUUAAUAAGAAUGAAACAGAUGCUAUGAAUGUUUGUAAACAGCUGCAUUUCUGUAACUUUGAAAUACUGUGUUUUCCAUUAGAUCAUAUUUUGUAAGACAAUGUUCAGCCUUUACCUUUGGGGGACAAAUAAAAUAAAAUAAAGAUUGA